GGGAGAGAGCCUAUAAAUGUACGAUUUACUGUGGAACCCAUGGCAGCCCGAGGUUCAAAUACUUAGCUUGGGAUUUUGGAUAGUGUCAGAGUUUACUCUGUAUAUGUAUCAGGAAUGCAAGUACGAGUGAAGCAAGGAUGAGGAAUUCCCUACAACUUAGUUUGGCACAAGAAUCCGCGCUUUCAUUUUGGUUAUCUCUACUCUGACUGAAUUUUUCUCAUUUCUUUGUAUUUUUAGAAGAUCUGGGUUUUUUUAUUACAAGGACCUGUUUUUGCUUUGGUGUUACAGGGGAGAGAGCUAUGUAUGUACUGUGGGAUUUGGAAGCUUUGAGCCUUUGGAUUCAACGGGUUAUUUCUUUCCUUGAGUGUUGUUUGUUAUGAAAUAGGGUGUCAUAGUAUAAUGUGGCAGUGCUU
rnacentral:lncRNA from 1 species